rnacentral:rRNA from 1 species
UACGGAGGGGGCUAGCGUUGUUCGGAAUUACUGGGCGUAAAGCGCACGUAGGCGGCUUUGGCAAGUUAGAGGUGAAAGCCCGGGGCUCAACUCCGGAAUUGCCUUUAAAACUCGCAUCGCUAGAAUUGUGGAGAGGUAAGUGGUAAUUCCGAGUGUAGAGGUGAAAUUCGUAGAUAUUCGGAAGAACACCAGUGGCGAAGGACGG